CGGCGAGUGAAGCGGCAAGAGCUCAAAUUUGAAAUCUGGCCCCUCCGGGGUCCGAGUUGUAAUUUGCAGAGGAUGCUUCGGGAGCGGUCCCCGUCUAAGUGCCCUGGAACGGGCCGUCAUAGAGGGUGAGAAUCCCGUCUGGGAUGGGCGGCCGCGCCCGUGUGAAGCGCCUUCGACGAGUCGAGUUGUUUGGGAAUGCAGCUCUAAGUGGGUGGUAAAUUUCAUCUAAAGCUAAAUACUGGCCGGAGACCGAUAGCGCACAAGUAGAGUGAUCGAAAGAUGAAAAGCACUUUGAAAAGAGAGUUAAACAGCACGUGAAAUUGUUGAAAGGGAAGCGUUGUCCACCAGACUCGCCCGGGGGGGUUCAGCCGGCACUCGUGCCGGUGUACUCUCCUCCGGGCGGGCCAGCAUCGGUUUGGGCGGCUGGUGAAAGGCCCCGGGAAUGUAACACCCUCCGGGGUGCCUUAUAGCCCGGGGUGCCAUGCGGCCAGCCUGGACCGAGGCCCGCGCUUCGGCGAGGAUGCUGGCGUAAUGGUGGUCAACGGCCCGUCUUGAAAC
rnacentral:rRNA from 1 species